CAAGUCGAACGAACUUAACCAUUAGUUUACUAUUGGAGCGGUUAGUGGCGGACUGGUGAGUAACACGUAAGCAACCUGCCUGUUAGAGGGGAACAACAGUUAGAAAUGACUGCUAAUACCGCAUAUGCCAUAGUGAGGACAUCCUUACAGUGGGAAAGGAGUAAUCCGCUAACAGAUGGGCUUGCGUCUGAUUAGAUAGUUGGUGGGGUAACGGCCUACCAAGUCAACGAUCAGUAGCCGGACUGAGAGGUUGAACGGCCACAUUGGGACUGAGAUACGGCCCAGACUCCUACGGGAGGCAGCAGUCGGGAAUAUUGCGCAAUGGAGGAAACUCUGACGCAGUGACGCCGCGUGCAGGAAGAAGGUUUUCGGAUUGUAAACUGCUUUAGACAGGGAAGAAAAAAGACAGUACCUGUAGAAUAAGCUCCGGCUAACUACGUGCCAGCAGCCGCGGUAAUACGUAGGGAGCAAGCGUUAUCCGGAUUUAUUGGGUGUAAAGGGUGCGUAGACGGGAAAAUAAGUUAGUUGUGAAAUCCCUCGGCUUAACUGAGGAACUGCAACUAAAACUGUUUUUCUUGAGUGCUGGAGAGGAAAGUGGAAUUCCUAGUGUAGCGGUGAAAUGCGUAGAUAUUAGGAGGAACACCAGUGGCGAAGGCGACUUUCUGGACAGUAACUGACGUUGAGGCACGAAAGUGUGGGGAGCAAACAGGAUUAGAUACCCUGGUAGUCCACACCGUAAACGAUGGAUACUAGGUGUAGGGGAUGAAUAAUCUUCUGUGCCGUCGCAAACGCAGUAAGUAUCCCACCUGGGGAGUACGGCCGCA
rnacentral:rRNA from 1 species